GGGAGGCAGCAGUGAGGAAUCUUCCGCAAUGGACGAAAGUCUGACGGAGCAACGCCGCGUGAGCGAAGAAGGCCUUCGGGUCGUAAAGCUCUGUUGUUAGGGAAGAACAAGUACCGGAGUAACUGCCGGUACCUUGACGGUACCUAACCAGAAAGCCACGGCUAACUACGUGCCAGCAGCCGCGGUAAUACGUAGGUGGCAAGCGUUGUCCGGAAUUAUUGGGCGUAAAGCGCGCGCAGGCGGUUCCUUAAGUCUGAUGUGAAAGCCCCCGGCUCAACCGGGGAGGGCCAUUGGAAACUGGGGAACUUGAGUGCAGAAGAGAAGAGCGGAAUUCCACGUGUAGCGGUGAAAUGCGUAGAGAUGUGGAGGAACACCAGUGGCGAAGGCGGCUCUUUGGUCUGUAACUGACGCUGAGGCGCGAAAGCGUGGGGAGCGAACAGGAUUAGAUACCCCGGUAG
rnacentral:rRNA from 1 species